CCUACGGGAGGCAGCAGUGAGGAAUAUUGGUCAAUGGUCGGGAGACUGAACCAGCCAAGCCGCGUGAGGGAGGAAGGUACAGAGUAUCGUAAACCUCUUUUGUCAGGGAACAAAGGCGGGGACGUGUCCCCGGAUGAGUGUACCUGAAGAAAAAGCAUCGGCUAACUCCGUGCCAGCAGCCGCGGUAAUACGGAGGAUGCGAGCGUUAUCCGGAUUUAUUGGGUUAAAAGGGUGCGCAGGCGGUCUGUUAAGUCAGUGGUAAAAGCCCGGGGCUCAACCCCGGCCCGCCGUUGAACCUGGCAGUCUCGAGUUGGAGAGAAGUAUGCGGAAUGCGCGGUGUAGCGGUGAAAUGCAUAGAUAUCGCGCAGAACUCCGAUUGCGAAGGCAGCAUGCCGGCUCCACACUGACGCUGAGGCACGAAAGCGUGGGUAUCGAACAGGAUUAGAUACCCCAGUAGUC
rnacentral:rRNA from 1 species